rnacentral:sRNA from 1 species
GUGGCGNACGGGUGAGUAAUGUCNNGGGAUCUGCCCGAUAGAGGGGGAUAACCACUGGAAACGGUGGCUAAUACCGCAUAACGUCGCAAGACCAAAGAGGGGGACCUUCGGGCCUCUCACUAUCGGAUGAACCCAGAUGGGAUUAGCUAGUAGGCGGGGUAAUGGCCCACCUAGGCGACGAUCCCUAGCUGGUCUGAGAGGAUGACCAGCCACACUGGAACUGAGACACGGUCCAGACUCCUACGGGAGGCAGCAGUGGGGAAUAUUGCACAAUGGGCGCAAGCCUGAUGCACCCAUGCCGCGUGUAUGAAAAAAGCCUUCGGGUUGUAAAGUACUUUCAGCGGGGAGGAAGGCGAUGGGGUUAAUAACCCCGUCGAUUGACGUUACCCGCAGAAAAAACACCGGCUAACUCCGUGCCACCACCCGCGGUAAUACGGAGGGUGCAAGCGUUAAUCGGAAUUACUGGGCGUAAAGCGCACGCAGGCGGUCUGUUAAGUCAGAUGUGAAAUCCCNGGGCUUAACCUGGGAACUGCAUUUGAAACUGGCAGGCUUGAGUCUUGUAGAGGGGGGUAGAAUUCCAGGUGUAGCGGUGAAAUGCGUAGAGAUCUGGAGGAAUACCGGUGGCGAAGGCGGCCCCCUGGACAAAGACUGACGCUCAGGUGCGAAAGCGUGGGGAGCAAACAGGAUUAGAUACCCUGGUAGUCCACGCCGUAAACGAUGUCGACUUGGAGGUUGUUCCCUUGAGGAGUGGCUUCCGGAGCUAACGCGUUAAGUCGACCGCCUGGGGAGUACGGCCGCAAGGUUAAAACUCAAAUGAAUUGACGGGGGCCCGCACAAGCGGUGGAGCAUGUGGUUUAAUUCGAUGCAACGCGAAGAACCUUACCUANNCUUGACNU